rnacentral:rRNA from 1 species
CCUACGGGGGACAGCAGUGGGGGAUAUUGCACAAUGGGGGGAACCCUGAUGCAGCGACGCCGCGUGGGUGAAGGAGCGUUUCGGCGCGUAAAGCCCUAUCGGCAGGGAAGAAGGAGGACGGUACCUGACUAAGAAGCCCCGGCUAACUACGUGCCAGCAGCCGCGGUAAUACGGAGGAUGCGAGCGUUAUCCGGAUUUAUUGGGUUUAAAGGGUGCGCAGGCGGAGGUGCAAGUCAGCGGUCAAAUUGCGGGGCUCAACCCCGUACUGCCGUUGAAACUGCAUCCCUUGAGUGCGCGAGAAGUAUGCGGAAUGCGUGGUGUAGCGGUGAAAUGCAUAGAUAUCACGCAGAACUCCGAUUGCGAAGGCAGCAUACCGGCGCGCAACUGACGCUCAUGCACGAAAGCGUGGGUAUCGAACAGGAUUAGAUACCCCAGUAGUC